GCAAACUUGGUCAUUUAGAGGAAGUAAAAGUCGUAACAAGGUUUCCGUAGGUGAACCUGCGGAAGGAUCAUUACCGAGUAUCGGAGCCUUCGGGUUCCUACUCCCACCCUAUGUUGACUUAAAUGUUGCUUUGGCAGAUCGGUGGUUUCCACCGCCGGCCGUGGGUACUAAGGCUACAAACCUUGGGAGCUAUUUGGCUGGAGAGUAUCUGCCAGAGGAUUUUUAAACUCUUGUUAAUUGCAAAAUCCGAGUCUUGAGAAACUGAAUCAAAACUUUCAACAACGGAUCUCUUGGUUCUGGCAUCGAUGAAGAACGCAGC
rnacentral:misc_RNA from 1 species